UUAGUACUCCCUCCGUCCGAAAAUACUUGUCAUCAAAAUGGAUAAAAAGAGAUGUAUCUAGAACUAAAAUACAUCUAGAUACAUCCCAUUUUAUUCAUUUUGAUGACAAGUAUUUCCGAACGGAGGGAGUAGUAU
rnacentral:pre_miRNA from 1 species